CCCUUCUCCUCUAUCAACGAACCACGCCUCAUGCUGCCUUCUAACGCCGGCCAUAUUGACUAUUUUAGCUAAUCUCCUUGCGGUAGGUUGUAGAGCUUCUCUAACCAUCACCGUUAUAACAGUGUUGCGUGCCAUCGGAUAUACGGUGAUCGCAAUUUUGAAAUAACAGUGCGCCUUUAUCUGGAGUGUGGCUACAUAUUGGGGGACAUUUUCAUUGUUUUAGAAAACGCAGUGUUUUCCUGUGGGGCCUACACUCCUGUAAUAGAGGACAAGUUUUUCUUCUUUUCUUGAUUACGUGGGAAGGGAGGAGAGGAGACAAAGAUGCCAAAACCAGUAAGUAUUAGACAACAUACAUUUUCUUUACUUAAAGUGCCCAUAUUAUAAUUUUUUUAAAAGUUCCUAUUGUUGCUUUGGGAGUCUCCUACAAUUGGUUUACAUGCAUGCAAGGUCAAAAAACUUUUUUUAUUUUCUCAAAAUAUGCAUUUAAUAUCACCUAAUUUUCCAGCAAUUGUCAAAAGAUUAAUUCAUAGCAGUUCUAAUAUUCAGUCUCUCUAAACCCCUCCUUUCCUUGAGCCU
rnacentral:lncRNA from 1 species